CUGAUCUGAUCGUCUCAAGUCUGAGUGAACAGAUCUUUGGUUUUGCCUUUGCUGGUGACCUGCUGCAGAAGAUCCUCUCUCUCUAUCAUUAUAAGCAAUUCUAUCUAUCCUAUCACUCUCCCGACUCUAUCUAAUUUGACAGCCAUUCCAUCUUGUAUCCCUCU